ACGCGAGGGAGCGAGAAGUCGAGGGCGAGGGAGCGAGAGAGCGAGAACGCGAGGAAAAAGGGCGAGAAUACGAGGAUCUCGCCUCGAGAACACGAGAUUACUUUCACCUCGACUUCUCGUCUUCUCGUCCCUCGACUUCUCGCUCCCUCGUGUUCUCGCCUUUGAAAAACCUCGUGUUCUCGCUCCCUCGCCCUCGACUUCUCGCUCCCUCGCCCUCGACUUCUCGCUCCCUCGCGUUCUCGCCCUCGACUUCUCGCUCCCUCGUGUUCUCGCCUUUGAAAAACCUCGACUUCUCGCUCCCUCGCUCCCUCGCCUUUGGGUCAAUCUCGUCCUCUCGUGUUCUCGCUCCCUCGCUUCGUCACAAUCUCGUCUUCUCGUGUUCUCGCCUCGGAAGUGCAAGUGAUGAGCUCAUUCGUGAAUUUUUGGCGGAUACACCAAUAUUGAAGUCUCUAUAUUAUUAUUUCUAAGACACACUAUAUCAAUAAGUGAAAGGCAAAUAAGAAGAAUUCUUAAAAAAUAUGGUCAUAGGCGAAGAGGUGGAAAUGACGAAGAGUCUAUAACAGCUGCUAUAAGAGAGGAAUUGACUGGAAGUGGACGGUGCCUUGGUUACAGGGCUUUAGCGAAAAGACUCCUGUCAAAACAUGGCCUACGUGUUGCUAGGGACAAGGUUUACACUUUAUUAAAGUUAAUGGACCCCGAAGGGGUGAACCUUCGCAAGAAACACCAACUGUCAAGGAGAAUAUAUGUCAACAAAGGUCCAAACUAUUUAAUCCACAUAGAUGGGUAUGACAAGUUGAAAGCCUAUGGCUUUGC